rnacentral:misc_RNA from 1 species
AAGUCGUAACAAGGUUUCCGUAGGUGAACCUGCGGAAGGAUCAUUACCAAAUUUUCCCGCUGCGAAACCACUGCGUGUGAACUGGACUGCUGCUCGUUGGGCCGGCGUGCAUGCCGGCCCGAUGUGCAUUCUGCCCGUGCGAACCGUUGACAGUCUUCUUUUUUUGCUGGCGUGCGUCGUGCGACGCGCGUUGGAAAACAAACAGUACACAACUUUUAACGGUGGAUCUCUUGGCUCGC